UACAGAGGUCUCAAGCGUUGUUCGGAUUCAUUGGGCGUAAAGGGUGCGUAGGCGGUUUGUCGCGUCGGGAGUGAAAUCCACUGGCUUAACUGGUGGCUUGCUUUCGAUACGGGCAGACUGGAGGUAUGCAGGGGAGAACGGAAUUCCUGGUGUAGCGGUGAAAUGCGCAGAUAUCAGGAAGAACACCAAUGGCGAAAGCAGCUCUCUGGGACGGUACUGACGCUGAGACGCGAAAGCGUGGGGAGCGAACAGG
rnacentral:rRNA from 1 species